rnacentral:rRNA from 1 species
GAUGAACGCUGGCGGCGUGCCUAAUACAUGCAAGUCGAGCGAACAGAUAAGGAGCUUGCUCCUUUGAAGUUAGCGGCGGACGGGUGAGUAACACGUGGGUAACCUACCUAUAAGACUGGGAUAACUUCGGGAAACCGGAGCUAAUACCGGAUAACAUUUAGAACCGCAUGGUUCUAAAGUGAAAGAUGGUUUUGCUAUCACUUAUAGAUGGACCCGCGCCGUAUUAGCUAGUUGGUAAGGUAACGGCUUACCAAGGCGACGAUACGUAGCCGACCUGAGAGGGUGAUCGGCCACACUGGAACUGAGACACGGUCCAGACUCCUACGGGAGGCAGCAGUAGGGAAUCUUCCGCAAUGGGCGAAAGCCUGACGGAGCAACGCCGCGUGAGUGAUGAAGGGUUUCGGCUCGUAAAACUCUGUUAUUAGGGAAAAACAAAUGUGUAAGUAACUGUGCACAUCUUGACGGUACCUAAUCAGAAAGCCACGGCUAACUACGUG